rnacentral:lncRNA from 1 species
CUCAAACGCAAGGCUUCUGGCUACCAUUGUUGCUGGUUCUGUUCUGGCAGGGGAGCUGUCUCUUAUGUCUGCUAUUGCAGCUGGGCAGCUCGUUCAAAGCCAUAUGAAAUACAACAGAUCCAUCAAAGAUGCAUCCAAAAUAACUACCUGAAGGAGGUACAAUACAGCUGCUUUGUUUAGUUGAGACGACCAGAAUUAAAAGUUAAAAGGAAAACUAGAAAAAAAAAUACCAAUAAGUAUAUAAAUGAAGCUUUGUAGUACCUGUCGGCAAAUGUUGAGGGGGACAAAGAAAGAUUAUAAAAACGUGGAAGAAGGCGUUAAAAAUAAAUUGGAGCCUGCUCUUGUUUUGCUGACUAGAUACGUACUGCUUUUAAAAUCCAGGGCCAUGUGAAUCUGGUGGUUCUCUUUCU